rnacentral:tRNA from 1 species
GCCCGUGUGGCUCAGUGGAUAGAGCGUCAUUGGCCUGCGGACUGAAGGGUCCUGGGUUCGAGUCCAGUCAAGGGCA